rnacentral:ribozyme from 1 species
UACCCAGCAAAUCCUAUCCCUAUCUCCGCGUGGUACCGGCCGGAAACUAUGAGCAACCUUAGGGAAGAUCGGGUAACACACCCCGGUGGGAACUUUGGUCGUAGGCUGACAGGAAAAG